GUUGGCAACGGGAGUGGCUUUAGCACCCCGACCACCCUAACAUCUUGCACUGUCUGGGGGCUCCCCGGGCUCAGCAACACCCACCUCUGUGGCUGGGAGCUGGGCUCAGCCACAUCCCUGCAACUUCUCCGGGACACCGCCAUCCAGCUACGCCAAGGCCUGACGGCGGCUCCAUGUUUCCUGCCAAUGGCGGUGCUAUUAAUUUAUACAGAAAGCUCACAUUUGCCAUCACUCCCCUUUACGAAUCGCUUCACCCUCUGACCAGAUCCCCUCACAGUCACUUUCUAGAACUCAUUCUGGUGCCAGCUAUCUUUAUGGACAGAAAACUACAUUUUGAAAUCAAAUCAAGUGUGUUCUAUUUUCCAUCCAAAUAAAUCUGGAGCACUUUC
rnacentral:lncRNA from 1 species